rnacentral:rRNA from 1 species
UACGUAGGGACCAAGCGUUGUUCGGAUUUACUGGGCGUAAAGGGCGCGUAGGCGGCGUGACAAGUCACUUGUGAAAUCUCUGAGCUUAACUCAGAACGGCCAAGUGAAACUGUUGUGCUAGAGUGCAGAAGGGGCAAUCGGAAUUCUUGGUGUAGCGGUGAAAUGCGUAGAUAUCAAGAGGAACACCUGAGGUGAAGACGGGUUGCUGGGCUGACACUGACGCUGAGGCGCGAAAGCCAGGGGAGCAAACGGGAUUAGAUACCGGGUAGUCC